AAAUCUCGUGCCAGCCACCGCGGUUAGACGAGAGGCCCCAGUUGAUAAUACAACGGCGUAAAGGGUGGUUAAGGACAGACAAAAAUUAAAGCCAAAUGGCCCCUUGGCCGUCAUACGCUUCUAGGAGUCCGAAGCCCUAACACGAAAGUAGCUUUAAACAAGCCCACCUGACCCCACGAAAGCUAAGAAACAAACUGGGAUUAGAUACCCCACUAUGCUCAGCCGUAAACUCAGACAUUCAACCACAAUUAAAUGUUCGCCAGGGUACUACAAGUAUUAACUUAAAACCCAAAGGACCUGACGGUGUCUCAAACCCCCCUAGAGGAGCCUGUUCUAGAACCGAUAAUCCCCGUUAAACCUCACCACCUCUAGCCACCCCAGCCUAUAUACCGCCGUCGUCAGCUUACCCUGUGAAGGAGAUAAAAGUAAGCAAAAUGGGUACAACCCAGAACGUCAGGUCGAGGUGUAGCGCAUGAAGUGGAAAGAAAUGGGCUACAUUUUCUAUCACAGAAUAUUACGAACAUGCACCAUGAAAUAAUGCUUGAAGGAGGAUUUAGUAGUAAAAAGGAAAUAGAGAGUCCUUU
rnacentral:rRNA from 1 species